rnacentral:other from 3 species
GGAAACCUGGAAUGUUCGACACUCCUGUAGUUUUGAACCUACAAUACUUUAAACGGGAGUCUUACAUCUCUGUAAUAUGUCAGGCCAUCGAUUUUGCAGUGGAAGGCAGAAAAGCAGAUGCGGAUACCCACCUAGCUGGGUGCUAGGAGUCAGAAUACAGGAACCGGCAUUUUGGGGAAUAU